UUGCAGGAGCUUGUUGGGAGAUCAGGAGCUGCAGCUGCCCUUGCCCCUUUUUGGCAAGGUAUUUUGGUCUAUAAAAGAAAGUUACUCAAAAGAGAUGCUGGCUCGUACUUGACUUAUUUCAACCAAAAGGGCCGAGCAAAAAGGGCUUGGGCCUGAGGAGAAAGUC